rnacentral:lncRNA from 1 species
GAUCUUCUUUGUUCUUAUUUUCUUAAAACUAUAUUGUUCUGGUUAUUUGAAGAAUCAAGUCCUUUAGAAUGGCAUCCUGGAAAUAUGAUUUCCUGUUUUACGAGCUGUGUAAGACGACUGAUUUACUGCGUGGAAUAUAAAACCUGUCUCCAUUAUUUUAUUCCUAAAAACAACCUUUUCGAAGGCAGAUUUACUGAUCACCAAC